AUACGUAGGUGGCGAGCGUUGUCCGGAAUUACUGGGUGUAAAGGGCGCGUAGACGGGUGCGUAAGUCAGAUGUGAAAUACCGGGGCUCAACUCCGGGGCUGCAUUUGAAACUAUGUAUCUUGAGUGCAGGAGAGGUAAGUGGAAUUCCUAGUGUAGCGGUGAAAUGCGUAGAUAUUAGGAGGAACACCAGUUGCGAAGGCGGCUCUCUGGACUGUAACUGACACUGAGGCACGAAAGCGUGGGGAGC
rnacentral:rRNA from 1 species